UCGGAUGAGCUGGGAAUGUGGCGGAAGAACUAAGGAACGUAAGGGCGUGGGAUCAAGAUGGAGGUGCCGAUUUGCAGGUCUUGGAAGAACAACUAGCAGGGCAAAAGCCUGUAAAGAGGUCAGGACUGAGAGCCUUGUGCUGAGAGAGUAAGGAAAGAGGAUUCUUACAGGAAAGCUGUUCUGACAGCCAGAAUACUUCUAAUAUACAGCCCAGGUUUAUUUGCAGGGAGAAGAGGCCAACACCUGCCUGACCACAACGUCCUUUCAGACAUGUCAGCACUCAUCCUUUUGGCUUCUCCUGAAACCAGGGCUGAUUGUGGUCGUGCACGAACGUCUGACAAGCUCUCCACACUGCUCCCACGAGAUGGGGGUAAACUCAAACGACCAGGAUCACCCUGUUUCAAGAGUCACAUGGUUCAAAAAAGAACUAAAAUUCUGCAGAAGCCCGUCCAUCAUACGCACAGCAUGACUCCGUCCAUCCAGCACCACUGACCCUUAGGCUUGAGCUCUCCUGACCCUCAUCACUCUCUGCUUCCUCCAGCAGCAGCUCCGGGAUUUCUCAGAACUGUUCCAGCUCAGGGGAGUGUGGUGGGAGUUGAUGGGGGCGGGGGGAGGCAAAAGGCUCUUGCACAUACCUGAACA